UGACGUUAGCUCAGAGGUAGAGCAGCGGCAUUCGAUGCCGUUGGUGGCCGGUUCGACUCCGGUACGUCAACCA
rnacentral:tRNA from 1 species